GGGCGGUUCGUAUAAGGGGAUUACCACGGCCUGCACCCGUGCAAUGCGAGUUCAAGUCUCGCACCGUCCACCA
rnacentral:tRNA from 1 species